UACGGAGGGCGCGAUCGUUAAUCGGAAUUACUGGGCGUAAAGCGCACGUAGGCGGUCGGAUAAGUCGGAUGUGAAAGCCCUGGGCUUAACCUGGGAACUGCAUUCGAUACUGUCUGGCUAGAGUAUGGGAGAGGGAAGCAGAAUUUCCGGUGUAGCGGUGAAAUGCGUAGAUAUCGGAAGGAAUACCAAUGGCGAAGGCAGCUUCCUGGCCCAAUACUGACGCUCAGGUGCGAAAGCGUGGGGAUAAAACAGG
rnacentral:rRNA from 1 species